CUCUCUUUUCUCUCUGGCAACUCCUCAAAAAACGAAAAACGCAAAGAGGAAUCGACAAAAAUAUUCAAUAAAAAAAACAAGAGAUAAAUACUCUAAAGCCAUGUUGUUGUUGUUGUAGCAGUGUGUUAUACACUGAGGCGGCAGCCCUUGCCGAUGAAGAACUCCAUCGGGUCAAUCCGGUACGCACAACCGGCUGCCAUGGGAUUGCCUCUAAAGCCAUCGUAAAUAUUUGUUUUUAUUUAUUUCGUUAAAGUAAACCCCAAAUAAUUGUCCGUCGUUUACUUAACGAAUUUCUAUUCAUUAGCGAAAAAAGCUGAUUUUAACGAUGUCGAUUAUCGUUAAAAAACGAGAUAUCAAACUACAACCUAGACAUCCUCGGUUUAAGUGAAGUACGAUGACCGAAAUCCGGAACUAUGGAUCUUCAAGGUGGCUUCCACUUAUUUUUUUUAGGCAUGAAAUCCACCGAAUAAAUGUGGUCGGUCUUUUAUUGUCGCUUCUUCUAACAAUGUUAUAUCUGAACGCAUCAUGACGGUAAGAUUAUAUUCAAAAUUCAGCAAAAUAUCCAUUGUACAAUGCAACGCGCCAACCGAACCCGAUGAUGACGAAAUUCCCAACUCGACUCAGUGAAGAAGACAUUAAAAAGAAAACAUUAAACUUGUUAUGGGUGAUUUUAACGCCAAGGUGGGCAAUAACAACAAUAAUCUACACAGUCCUUCAUGGGAGUGCAAGGACUUGGCGAUACCAGAAAUUAUAAUGGCGACAGAUUGGUUGAUUUCUGCGCAAGAAACCGGCUCUUUAUUAGAGGCACAAAACUCCCCCAUUAAAAUAUACACAUAUAUACUUGGGAAUCACCCGUAAUCAAAUCGACCACGUAGUUAUCAGCAAACUCUUCGCUGAUGGAUGUGAAAACUAGACGAGGAGCCGACUUAGAUAGUGACCACAUGCUCUUAGUGGCCACUCUACGCCUACGCCAGCCGUCGCGAAAAGGACUCAAACUAAAAGCACAAAGUUCAACCUCUUAAACCCAAAAGACCCCGAAACAGCGCGCGAAUUCAAGGCAACAUUAACGUAGGAGCUGCAAAAUAACACUAAUAUAUGGGCCGACAAAAUAGCAGCAUGUAAGGAGACGGCCACCUCUAUCAUAGGCAUUGCUCGAAAAGUCAUGGAUAAGCAACGAAUUACAGAAGAAAUAAAAUACCUGAAAACUAACUAAAAUCGCAGCCAGGAUUGAAUAUCGCGCCUCCGCGUCGCUGGUCAAGCGCUUAGUUCGCAGAGAUAAGCGAAUAUACCCACCUACUAAGUAAUUGAGGCCGCUCUGGUCUCACUCAAAAAUGGCCAAUCAGCCGAUAAUAUACCUGCUGAACUGUUGUGGCAUGAGGCAUGCCCCAUAGCUCAAGCGAUCACCCCAAUAAUUAAGAAGGCCUGGAAUAAAACGCUGUCCCCACGGAAUGGAAGAAGGGCAUCAUGGUCACAAUCCCAAAGAAGGGUAACCUCACCGAGUAUAAGAACUGGAAGGGGAUUUCAUUGCUAAACGCAAUAAAAAAAGUGAUGGCAAGUCUUCUUCUGCAGCGCAUUUCGCCUGCACUUGACAGCAUUUUUUGGAAUAAACAGGCAGGUUUUCGGCCUGAUCGUUCUUGUGCGGACGACAUUAACUCCCUGCGCAUAAUCAUUGAACAGUCUGACAGAGUUAAUACACACAUAUACAUUUUAUUCAUCGACUUCGAGCGUCUUUUUGGCACAGCUUCGCGAAAUUCAAUGUGGAUCACUAAUUAGGAAGCUGUAUAGGAAUGCUGAAUUUUAGUCCGUUUCAAUGGAAAAGAGAGCCGACCUUCCGGGAGCGACAUAGGAGUGUAGCAGGCAAACGCUGUGGUGUUGACGACUUCCUCGGAGACAUCGACUACGCAUAUGAUAAUGACUCUUUGCGCAUUGCUUUGAGCACAUAAAGGCGAAUUUGGAACGAUCAAAUGAAAAUGCUGCCAAAGUAGGCCUGAGGAUAAACAUAGCAAAGACCAAAUUGAUGAGGAUAGGAAAAUCAAAUCUGACACCGCUCAAUAUGAACGACCAUAUCAUUGUAGACAACUUCUCCUAUCUUGGCAGCGAAAUAACAAAGGACGGAGAAUCGGAGGCAGACAUCUGCGUACGUAUCAACAAGGCUAAAAGCGUCUUUCUUAAACUCAACAAAGUUUGGAGAUGCAGUGACAUCUCACAUAAUACAAAAGAUCUUCAACAGUAGCGUGAAAUCUAUAUUAUAUGGUUGUACAACUUGGAGCCUGACACAAUCGACUACCCGUAAAGUCGAAGUUAACAUAAAUUGCUGCGUAAUACUUGAAAUUUUCUGGUCAACCCGUAUUUCAAAUGAGGAACUGCAAAUAAGAACAAAAAAUUCCCUUAUUGAUUUAGAAAUCCGGAAGAGAAAAUGGUGUUGGUUGG